rnacentral:rRNA from 1 species
GUGCUAUACAUGCAAGUAGAACGCUGAAGUCUGGUGCUUGCACUAGACGGAUGAGUUGCGAACGGGUGAGUAACGCGUAGGUAACCUGCCUCAUAGCGGGGGAUAACUAUUGGAAACGAUAGCUAAUACCGCAUAACAGUAUUUACCGCAUGGUAGAUGCUUGAAAGGAGCAACUGCUUCACUAUGAGAUGGACCUGCGUUGUAUUAGCUAGUUGGUGAGGUAACGGCUCACCAAGGCUUCGAUACAUAGCCGACCUGAGAGGGUGAUCGGCCACACUGGGACUGAGACACGGCCCAGACUCCUACGGGAGGCAGCAGUAGGGAAUCUUCGGCAAUGGGGGCAACCCUGACCGAGCAACGCCGCGUGAGUGAAGAAGGUUUUCGGAUCGUAAAGCUCUGUUGUAAGAGAAGAACUGUGAGAAGAGUGGAAAGUUUCUCACUUGACGGUAUCUUACCAGAAAGGGACGGCUAACUACGUGCCAGCAGCCGCGGUAAUACGUAGGUCCCGAGCGUUGUCCGGAUUUAUUGGGCGUAAAGCGAGCGCAGGCGGUUUGAUAAGUCUGAAGUAAAAGGCUGUGGCUUAACCAUAGUACGCUUUGGAAACUGUCAAACUUGAGUGCAGAAGGGGAGAGUGGAAUUCCAUGUGUAGCGGUGAAAUGCGUAGAUAUAUGGAGGAACACCGGUGGCGAAAGCGGCUCUCUGGUCUGUAACUGACGCUGAGGCUCGAAAGCGUGGGGAGCGAACAGGAUUAGAUACCCUGGUAGUCCACGCCGUAAACGAUGAGUGCUAGGUGUUGGGGUCCUUUCC